rnacentral:rRNA from 1 species
AUUGAACGCUGGCGGCAGGCUUAACACAUGCAAGUCGAGCGGAGAGAGGUAGCUUGCUACUGAUCUUAGCGGCGGACGGGUGAGUAAUGCUUAGGAAUCUGCCUAUUAGUGGGGGACAACAUUUCGAAAGGAAUGCUAAUACCGCAUACGUCCUACGGGAGAAAGCAGGGGAUCUUCGGACCUUGCGCUAAUAGAUGAGCCUAAGUCGGAUUAGCUAGUUGGUGGGGCAAAGGCCUACCAAGGCGACGAUCUGUAGCGGGUCUGAGAGGAUGAUCCGCCACACUGGGACUGAGACACGGCCCAGACUCCUACGGGAGGCAGCAGUGGGGAAUAUUGGACAAUGGGCGGAAGCCUGAUCCAGCCAUGCCGCGUGUGUGAAGAAGGCCUUAUGGUUGUAAAGCACUUUAAGCGAGGAGGAGGCUACUUUAGUUAAUACCUAGAGAUAGUGGACGUUACUCGCAGAAUAAGCACCGGCUAACUACGUGCCAGCCGCCGCGGUAA